rnacentral:rRNA from 1 species
CCGAGUUGUAAUUUGUAGAGGAUGUUUCGGACAAGGCUUCGGUUUAAAUUCCUUGGAACAGGAUGUCAUAGAGGGUGAGAGUCCCGUCUUGAACCGUCUGCUGCGUCUAUGUGAAACUCCUUCGACGAGUCGAGUUGUUUGGGAAUGCAGCUCAAAAUGGGAGGUAAAUUUCUUCUAAAGCUAAAUAUUGGCCAGAGACCGAUAGCGCACAAGUAGAGUGAUCGAAAGAUGAAAAGCACUUUGAAAAGAGAGUUAAACAGUAUGUGAAAUUGUUGAAAGGGAAGCGGUUGCAACCAGACUUGUGUGUAACAGUUCAACCUUGGUUUUCCAAGGCCUAUUCUGUUAUACCAGGCCAGCAUCGGUUCGGGUGGUUAGUUAA